AUUGAACGCUGGCGGCAUGCCUUACACAUGCCAGUCGAACGGCAGCACGGGUGCUUGCACCUGGUGGCGAGUGGCGAACGGGUGAGUAAUACAUCGGAACAUGUCCUGUAGUGGGGGAUAGCCCGGCGAAAGCCGGAUUAAUACCGCAUACGAUCUACGGAUGAAAGCGGGGGACCUUCGGGCCUCGCGCUAUAGGGUUGGCCGAUGGCUGAUUAGCUAGUUGGUGGGGUAAAGGCCUACCAAGGCGACGAUCAGUAGCUGGUCUGAGAGGACGACCAGCCACACUGGGACUGAGACACGGCCCAGACUCCUACGGGAGGCAGCAGUGGGGAAUUUUGGACAAUGGGCGAAAGCCUGAUCCAGCAAUGCCGCGUGUGUGAAGAAGGCCUUCGGGUUGUAAAGCACUUUUGUCCGGAAAGAAAUCCUUGGCCCUAAUACAGUCGGGGGAUGACGGUACCGGAAGAAUAAGCACCGGCUAACUACGUG
rnacentral:rRNA from 1 species